rnacentral:tRNA from 2 species
GCGGGCAUAGCUCAGUUGGUAGAGCAUAACCUUGCCAUGGUUAGGGUCGCGAGUUCGAACCUCGUUGCCCGCUCCA